rnacentral:rRNA from 1 species
CCUACGGGAGGCUGCAGUGAGGAAUAUUGGUCAAUGGACGAGAGUCUGAACCAGCCAAGUAGCGUGAAGGAUGACUGCCCUAUGGGUUGUAAACUUCUUUUAUAUGGGAAUAAAACGUUCCACGUGUGGGAUUUUGUAUGUACCAUAUGAAUAAGGAUCGGCUAACUCCGUGCCAGCAGCCGCGGUAAUACGGAGGAUCCGAGCGUUAUCCGGUUUUAUUGGGUUUAAAGGGAGCGUAGGUGGAUUGUUAAGUCAGUUGUGAAAGUUUGCGGCUCAACCGUAAAAUUGCAGUUGAAACUGGCAGUCUUGAGUACAGUAGAGGUGGGCGGAAUUCGUGGUGUAGCGGUGAAAUGCUUAGAUAUCACGAAGAACUCCGAUUGCGAAGGCAGUUCACUGGACUGCAACUGACACUGAGGCUCGAAAGUGUGGGUAUCAAACAGGAUUAGAUACCCUUGUAGUC